GAUGAAGAACGUAGUGAAAUGCGAUACGUAAUGUGAAUUGCAGAAUUCAGUGAAUCAUCGAAUCUUUGAACGCAUAUUGCGCUCUCUGGUAUUCCGGAGAGCAUGCUUGUUUGAGUAUCAGUAAACACCUCAACUCCCUUUUCUUUUUUGAAAUUGGAGCUGGACUUGAGUGAUCCCAACGCUUUCUUCCAAGAAAGUGGCGGGUUGCUUGAAAUGCAGGUGCAGCUGAACUUUUCUCUGAGCUAUAAGCAUAUCUAUUUAGUCUGCCUAAAAAACAGAUUAUUACCUUUGCUGCAGCUAACAUAAAGGAGACUAGUUCUUGUGCUGACUGAUGCAGGAUUCACAGAGACAGCUUCGGCUGACUUUGUAAACUCAAUCUCAAAUCAAGUAAGACUACCCGCUGAACUUAAGCAUAUCAAUAAGCGGAGGA
rnacentral:misc_RNA from 1 species